rnacentral:misc_RNA from 1 species
AACGCACAUUGCGCCCUCCGGUCCUCCGGGGGGCAUGCCUGUCCGAGCGUCAGUGCAACCCUCGAGCUCCCGGCUCGGUGUUGGGCGCCGUCCUCCCGGGGGCGCGCCCAGAAAUCGGCGGCGGUGCGGCCGGGCGAUCGAGCGCAGUAACCACUUUCCGCUCCGAUCUCGCCCGGGCGCUCCGGCCGGACAACCCCCCCGAAACCCAUGAAUUGACCUCGGAUCAGGUAGGGAUACCCGCUGAACUUAA